rnacentral:miRNA from 1 species
AGUAGAGAGGGGGUUUCACCAUGUUGGCCAGGCUGGUCUCAAACUCCUGACCUCAGGUGAUCCACCCACC